rnacentral:tRNA from 1 species
AAGUUUAGGUUAAACAAACCGCAGACCUUCAAAGUCUAAAAUAAGAACUACCUCACUUAACUUCU